rnacentral:rRNA from 1 species
UACGUAGGAUGCAAGCGUUGUCCGGAUUUACUGGGCGUAAAGCGCGCGCAGGCGGCAGUACAAGUACCCUCUGAAAUCUCCUUGCUCAACGAGGAGGGUGGAGGGUAGACUGUGCAGCUAGAGGAGGGUAGAGGGGGGUAGAAUUGCUGGUGUAGCGGUGAAAUGCGUAGAGAUGUGGAGGAAUACCAAUGGCGAAGGCAGCCCCCUGGGAUAAUAUUGACGCUCAUGCACGAAAGCGUGGGGAGCAAACAGG